rnacentral:misc_RNA from 1 species
GACCCACUUAUUACUAUUUGCUUAAAUAACGAUAAAUCAAUGUUCUUUGUCAUCAAAGUGCCAAAUAAAUGCUUGGGCAUUAGAAUUAGCAUUGGCACGCCUUUUGUACAUAUUUUGCCAUCGUACUCCUUCACAUAGUGUUUGCAGCUUCGCUAUCUGAUAAAGGAAAUUCCCCUGCUAGAUUUGGAGAACCUAGCUGGCAAUUUUAAAUUUCAUUCCAAUGAGACUGUCAUUAAUUGUAUUAUCUCUCUCAAGCACAGAUGCUUACAUACAGUAGGUGGUCACAUAUUGGAGUCCAGUAAAAUGUGGACUGAAAAUUAAUCUAUAUCCCUCAGUUUAUUCAUGCACCUGGUGGCGCUGGCCAAUCCUCCAAUUGCAAUAAUUUUCAGUCAAGAUUUCGAAAUUUUGUCUGCUUGAUAUAUAUUAGAACAUGUAUAUCUGCUUGCGUCAUUGGGCUUCUUCAUAGUAGGACUUUUACUGUUUCAUGUUAGUUUUUAAUGAAUUGUAAGAACCUUUUGUUCUUUAUCGUAAUAAUUUGCUUCAUUGUUCGUAUGGCUUGUAUUCAUUUCCAUUUUGG